GGGAGGUGCAGAUUUGCACGGCUGGCCUCAGCGGGAGGCGCGGAAAUGCAAGCCGAGCUUGCUGGCUAGAAAGCCCCCGAGGCCUGGCACCCCCCAAAACGACCCCCCACCUCAAUUUCUGCCCCCAUUGCCCACGGCCCCCACGGGCCACCCCUCUUCCUCUUCCUUCAUCCACCCCACCCCAUUACCUACGUGGCCGACCCAAAUUCAAAGAGCUUUGUAUAUAUAAUUGUUUUUUCUGCUGCAUGUCUUGUUUUUUUUUUGGGGGGGGGGUGCCGGGGGUGGCGAUCCUCUCCAGACCCCCAUAUGCGGACCUGCCAUGUGGAGGAGGCAUUUGGGGGCUCAGGAAGAAAUUAGCGCAGCUCCAUACCUGUACGGACUGCAUAACUUUUAAACUCCCGGACUCAAAGAUACGGACCCACACACACGCAGGUACAGGAAAUAACAGCCAGACCAGAGCCUUUUCAGACCCGAGCUGACCGGAAGACGUUGCAUUUCAUUCAUUCAUCCUGCCCGCGUCUGUGGAGUCCUUUACUAGGCGACGAGCCCUGGAACACAAGUUGGACAGUUUUUAAAGGUCCCUGCGCUCGCCAAGAGAAGGAAAUAGAUGCUCAGGAGUGAAAUACCGAGAGAAUCGGAUCUGGCGCCUCCUAACGCAGCUGGCAAGCAGGCGAAGGUCCCGUGUAGAUUGAAGUAUCAGGGCAGCUUACAUACAGCCUGAGCGUCUGGCUUUGGGCAUUUGGGGAAGACUUUGCGAGAGUUCUACAUCUCCCUGAGCGAGGAUCUGAAGGAAACUUGGAAAUAACAGGUGAGUUAAUUAAGGGGUUAACUCCAGGAGGCGAGUCCUAAAAGUUCAAAGAUACUUUCAAAACUUGCAUCUUUGGAUUGAUGGACAAGUGUAUUAACCAAUGGAAAUCAAACUCCAAGCAUUACUUCAUCAUGCUAAAUUGUCAUUGGUUGCCAAUCCCUGAGGGCCUGACAGCCCGGCUGGCAGUUAACCCUUUCAGGGACGAUCUUGCCCUUAACAUCAAUUUUAUUUUGAAAGAUGAAGUAGGGACGGGUGAAAAGCCUAGAAAGAUUCCCCGGAACUUCAAGUGUCCGUUUUGGAUCUCAGCCCAGCAGGUAGAGUUUCGGCCCACAAAGGAACACCCUGGGACAAAUUUCCUGGAGAAAAGUUUUGAACUUUUAAAAUUGGGAAUCAGCUGACCUUGCUUAGUGGGAGGAGAAGGGAAGGGAGAAGUCUGAUUCACUUUUUGUGCUGUCAGAACAGCGACCAGUGUUGGAGCCAAUUCCAUUAAUCUUGCAGAGCAAUCAGUCACUGAGAGGAUUGAAUUGCAUUUCCUGCCCCAAAGAUGUAGAGACCGAUGACCUUUGCAGCAGCCCUCAGACCCCCCAGUUCACAGCUGGAGAGAGGAUGUGUCAGCAUUUACUUUCGGGUCUCACCCUGCCCUUUGUUCAAAACUCAAACUCUUUGUGCUCAGGCUGCUGCAGGGGUUUUUGUAGUUGUUGAUUUUGCCAAUUUUUUUUUUUUAAACCUCCCACGUCUUGGAACUUCUGAGAAUCAAACUCUCUAUUUAGCAGAAGAUAAUAUCUGGAGGUGCCCCCAGAGAGGGAACCAGAAUAGACACAGGGGAAUUUUAAGAGAGGCCAUUGGGCCUUUUGGCUUUCAUUACUGCCCCUUCCUGGGCUCCCUGAAUGCUGCAGGCUGAACUGGAUGGAGCCAGAAGCCCUGCAAGAGGACUAAAAAGCCUUGUGUGGACAUGGGUCUGUUACAGAAAAAACCUUUUACACGCGUUACCUCGGGUAAAAAGGAACUGCUAGAACAAGAGCAUUUACAUAAAGGAACAUUCUAAAUUCCCAAAUCCAGUGAGCUAUAUGACCUCACACAAGCUAUAUGACCCCUGAGGCCCAAACUGAGCCUCAGUUAUCCCAUCUGUAAAAUGGGGGUCAUAAUAUCAAACGUAUAAGAGCUACAGGAGGAUUGAAUGAACCAGUGUUCUGUAACAGGGUGGUGGUCAUGGCGUGUGUCUUCAUUAAAAUGAAGUCGACCUUCUCUCCCCAACAAGGCUUCAAAGUCUGAUCGCACUCAACUGUUUUGGGUUCUUUGAAUAGAGCUGCUUUCUCUCCUCCAGACCUUUGCAUUUGCUGAUCUGUGCACCAGGAGUUGUCUCUCCUGCCAGCCGUCCUCUCCAUAGCUCUUACUUAUCCUCUUGGAACCAGCUUUGAUAUCUUCUCUUUCCUGUCCCCCUCAUAAUACUUAUCACAUUUUCUUAGUGUUGCCUAUGCUGUCAGCACACUGGGAACCCUGGGGCUGUAGGGCCCCUGUCUGCCUCAUGCAUGGACGUAUCUCCUGCCUAGCACAGUGCCAACACCUACUCUGAAAGUACAUAUCUAAGCGUACCUGGGCUGGCUCAGUCAGUAGAGCAUGCAACUCUUGGUCUUGGGGUGGUGAGUUCAAGCCCUAUGUUGGGUGUGGAGCCUACUUAAAAAAAAGAAAAAAAAAGUACCUGUCUAAUGGAAGUCCAGCACCCCUACUGUGCCUCCCUUAGUCCCCAAAUUUCUCACCCUUCCAGAAAUCUAGGAGUAACAGUACUGAGAUUUUUCUCUUGUCCUGGUUAGCCAUAUUACAACAUCCUUUGCAAAUGGAGUCAGUGGCUUUUUAACUUGCUUUGAAAUGCACUUCAUUAAUUCACCAAUUACUUAUUGAGUGCCUCCUAGAUUCCUACACAGAGCAGCCUUUGUAGGAAAGCCUGCUCUUCACCCUAUAGCACCUAUUCAUGGCACAGAGCAGGCCUUUCACCCUGGUGAGGCCAGGAUGCUCUGAAAUGGAAUGGGCAGUUGGCUCUUACCCCAACCCAAAGAGAGGGAUCUCAGAGACCACCCCUUGCAAAUUGAGAGCAGGUAAGUUUGCCCAGCUUACCCUAGCACAAAGCUCUUAGCAUUCAGAAUACUUGUCAUAAUUAUAAUAAAAUACUCAUGUGUGAACAGUC